rnacentral:lncRNA from 1 species
GUAUUUAAGAGAGAGAGAGAGAGAGAGAGAGAGAGAGAGAGAGAGAGAGAGAGAGAGAGAGAUCUAAUUAAAAUAAUGUUUGCAACACCAAAAUAUCAGAAACACUCAUGAAAUUAUUAAAAAACUUGUACAUAAACACACACACACACACACACACACACACACA